UGGAGAGCUGUGACCCAAUGGCCUGGU
rnacentral:piRNA from 1 species